AACGAACGCUGGCGGCAGGCUUAACACAUGCAAGUCGAACGCCUCGCCAGGGCAGUGGCAGACGGCUGAGUAACCCGUGGGAACAUACCCUUUUCUACGGAAUAGCUCUGGGAAACGGGAAUUAAUACCGUAUACGCCCUACGGGGGAAAGAUUUAUCGGGGAAGGAUUGGCCCGCGUUGGAUUAGCUAGUUUGUGGGGUAAAGGCCUACCAAGGCGACGAUCCAUAGCUGGUCUGAGAGGAUGAUCAGCCACGUUGGGGCUGAGACACGGCCCCAACUCCGACGGGAGGCAGCGGUGGGGAGUAUUGGACGAUGGGCGCAAGCCUGAUCCAGCCAUGCCGCGUGAGUGAUGAAGGCCUUAGGGUUGUAAAGCUCUUUCACCGAUGAAGAUAAUGACGGUAGUCGGAGAAGAAGCCCCGGCUAACUUCGUG
rnacentral:rRNA from 1 species